GGAGGACACUUUUUCUCAAACUCUGCCUUCCUAAAGAUAGCUAAGGUAAUUGUUCUCUACAUUUUUUGUGGCACUUUUGAAAUUUUACAAAUAGAGUGGCACCUUUCAGUUUCUGUAAGUGAAUGCAGUGGGCUGGAUAUACCCACACGGCAUGGCAGGCAUAGUAUGCAAAUUGAGGCACUCAUGCUGUGUCUACAGUGGGCAGUUGCCACUCUGUCCCCAUGCUAGAAUGUGGGCUUAAUGUGGUCAUAUUUUCCAAAACUUCAAGAGCCAGAAAUUUGAAUUUUUAUAUUAAAUCUCUAGAUUUUAAAACUUUCAAAUGUUGGCACCUCCAUCUGCUUAUUUUUGAAAUAAUGUGAAGCAAAGGAGCUCUCUGAGGUGGUGCUGGACAUGUUCAAUAUUUGGACCUCUACCUUGUUUUAGGUGUAUACACAUGUAAAAAUUCAUCAUCCAGGUAUAGCAUAAGCAAACAUUCAUCAAACUGUAUCAUUAAAAUUUGUACGACUUACCACUUGUAAGUUAUGCCACAAUAAAAAAGAAAAAAAAUCUGCAUGGGAAUGAUACACAUGACAGUUAUUACCUCUGGGGGCAGAGGCAGGAAAGGAACAGGGUUGGCCUUAUGUGUAUUUCUAACAUAUUUCUUCAAAGAGAUAGAGGGCUGAAGCAUAUAGGGGGAUUUCUUUCUUUCUUUCUUUUUUGAGACAGGGUCUUGCUCUGUUGCACAGGCUGGAGUGCAGUGGCACAGUCAUAGCUCACUACAGCCUUGACCUCCCAGGCUCAAGCGAUCCUCCCACUUCAGCCUCCCAAGUAGCUGGGACUACAGGAGCAUGCCACCACGCCGCCUGGCUAAUUUUUUAAAUUUUUAGUAGAGACGAGAUAUCACUAUGUUGCCCAGUCAGGAGAAAAUAUUAACAGCUGUUUCAUCUCAGUGAUACUAGGUAUCUGCUUUAUUGUUUUCUGUGUGUUUGAAAUAUUUCAUAAUUAAAAUCAACUAUUUUUUAACAUUAAAAAAAUAAAGCCUGGAAAGACCAACACUGCAUGAACCAAAUAAAACUCCUCAGAGGCUACUGCACCAUUCUCUUGGUCUCCCUGUGGGACUGCACAGUUGUUUAUGUACGAAUGCUUACUGCCCUGACCCAGGGCUCCUGUAUCUUCAGUAAAUACCUGCUCCCUCUUUGUCACGGGUGUGAUGUGAUGUCACCCCACCCACUCAGCCCAGCACCCUCAUAUGCCAUUCAUCACCAGAAGUGUGUCCUCGGUGCAGCCUCAACUGUGGGAAAAAUAACGUUUAUAUAUCAACCCAAAUUUGAAGACACUCUGUAUUGGGUUCAUAGUUUAAAGCUACCAGAGAACAGACUUCUCUGAUCCUGAAAGCAAUUAAAGCCUAGUGGUUGAACUCACUGGGUAGAAGCCUGGGUUUUCCAGUUUACUAAAUAUAUGCCCCUGGGAAAGUUAGUUUCUCAGCUUCUAUUUCUUCACCUGUAAAUUGGGAAUGACGACAGUAUCUACCUAGUUGGGCUUACGGGUAGAUUUAAAUUUGCUGAGUUAUUGGUGCAUAACUGUUCAUUAGUUAUUAUUAAGUAAUUAAUACUGGGUUGAUUUUACUUUAACUAUCUUUCUUACAUCAUA
rnacentral:lncRNA from 10 species